GGUUAAGUUAGAAAGGGCGCACGGUGGAUGCCUUGGCACUAGGAGCCGAUGAAGGACGGGACGAACACCGAUAUGCUUCGGGGAGCUGUAAGCAAGCUUUGAUCCGGAGAUUUCCGAAUGGGGAAACCCACCACUCGUAAUGGAGUGGUAUCCAUAUCUGAAUACAUAGGAUAUGAGAAGGCAGACCUGGGGAACUGAAACAUCUAAGUACCCGGAGGAAGAGAAAGCAAAUGCGAUUCCCUGAGUAGCGGCGAGCGAAACGGGACCAGCCCAAACCAAGAGGCUUGCCUCUUGGGGUUGUAGGACACUCUGUACGGAGUUACAAAGGAACGAGGUAGAUGAAGAGGUCUGGAAAGGCCCGCCAUAGGAGGUAACAGCCCUGUAGUCAAAACUUUGUUCUCUCCUGAGUGGAUCCUGAGUACGGCGGAACACGUGAAAUUCCGUCGGAAUCCGGGAGGACCAUCUCCCAAGGCUAAAUACUCCCUAGUGACCGAUAGUGAACCAGUACCGUGAGGGAAAGGUGAAAAGCACCCCGGAAGGGGAGUGAAAGAGAUCCUGAAACCGUGUGCCUACAAGUAGUCAGAGCCCGUUAACGGGUGAUGGCGUGCCUUUUGUAGAAUGAACCGGCGAGUUACGAUCCCGUGCAAGGUUAAGCAGAAGAUGCGGAGCCGCAGCGAAAGCGAGUCUGAAUAGGGCGAAUUGAGUACGUGGUCGUAGACCCGAAACCAGGUGAUCUACCCAUGUCCAGGGUGAAGUUCAGGUAACACUGAAUGGAGGCCCGAACCCACGCACGUUGAAAAGUGCGGGGAUGAGGUGUGGGUAGGGGUGAAAUGCCAAUCGAACCUGGAGAUAGCUGGUUCUCUCCGAAAUAGCUUUAGGGCUAGCCUCAAGGUAAGAGUCUCGGAGGUAGAGCACUGAUUGGACUAGGGGCCCCUACCGGGUUACCGAAUUCAGUCAAACUCCGAAUGCCGAUUACUUAUCCUUGGGAGUCAGACUGCGAGUGAUAAGAUCCGUAGUCGAAAGGGAAACAGCCCAGACCGCCAGCUAAGGUCCCAAAGUAUACGUUAAGUGGAAAAGGAUGUGGAGUUGCUUAGACAACCAGGAUGUUGGCUUAGAAGCAGCCACCAUUUAAAGAGUGCGUAAUAGCUCACUGGUCGAGUGACUCUGCGCCGAAAAUGUACCGGGGCUAAACGUAUCACCGAAGCUGCGGACUGUUCUUCGAACAGUGGUAGGAGAGCGUUCUAAGGGCUGUGAAGCAAGACCGGAAGGACUUGUGGAGCGCUUAGAAGUGAGAAUGCCGGUAUGAGUAGCGAAAGAGGGGUGAGAAUCCCCUCCACCGAAUGCCUAAGGUUUCCUGAGGAAGGCUCGUCCGCUCAGGGUUAGUCGGGACCUAAGCCGAGGCCGAAAGGCGUAGGCGAUGGAUAACAGGUUGAUAUUCCUGUACCACCUCCUCACCAUUUGAGCAAUGGGGGGACGCAGGAGGAUAGGGUAAGCGCGGUAUUGGAUAUCCGCGUCCAAGCAGUUAGGCUGGGAAAUAGGCAAAUCCGUUUCCCGUGAAGGCUGAGCUGUGAUGGCGAGCGAAUUAUAGUAGCGAAGUUCCUGAUUCCACACUGCCAAGAAAAGCCUCUAGCGAGGUGAGAGGUGCCCGUACCGCAAACCGACACAGGUAGGCGAGGAGAGAAUCCUAAGGUGAUCGAGAGAACUCUCGUUAAGGAACUCGGCAAAAUGACCCCGUAACUUCGGGAGAAGGGGUGCUCUGUUAGGGUGCAAGCCCGAGAGAGCCGCAGUGAAUAGGCCCAGGCGACUGUUUAGCAAAAACACAGGUCUCUGCGAAGCCGUAAGGCGAAGUAUAGGGGCUGACGCCUGCCCGGUGCUGGAAGGUUAAGAGGAGCGCUUAGCGUAAGCGAAGGUGCGAAUUGAAGCCCCAGUAAACGGCGGCCGUAACUAUAACGGUCCUAAGGUAGCGAAAUUCCUUGUCGGGUAAGUUCCGACCCGCACGAAAGGUGCAACGAUCUGGGCACUGUCUCAACGAGAGACUCGGUGAAAUUAUAGUACCUGUGAAGAUGCAGGUUACCCGCGACAGGACGGAAAGACCCCGUGGAGCUUUACUGCAGCCUGAUAUUGAAUGUUGGUACAGCUUGUACAGGAUAGGUAGGAGCCUUGGAAACCGGAGCGCCAGCUUCGGUGGAGGCAUCGGUGGGAUACUACCCUGGCUGUAUUGACCUUCUAACCCGCCGCCCUUAUCGGGCGGGGAGACAGUGUCAGGUGGGCAGUUUGACUGGGGCGGUCGCCUCCUAAAAGGUAACGGAGGCGCCCAAAGGUUCCCUCAGAAUGGUUGGAAAUCAUUCGCAGAGUGUAAAGGCACAAGGGAGCUUGACUGCGAGACCUACAAGUCGAGCAGGGACGAAAGUCGGGCUUAGUGAUCCGGUGGUUCCGCAUGGAAGGGCCAUCGCUCAACGGAUAAAAGCUACCCCGGGGAUAACAGGCUUAUCUCCCCCAAGAGUCCACAUCGACGGGGAGGUUUGGCACCUCGAUGUCGGCUCAUCGCAUCCUGGGGCUGUAGUCGGUCCCAAGGGUUGGGCUGUUCGCCCAUUAAAGCGGUACGCGAGCUGGGUUCAGAACGUCGUGAGACAGUUCGGUCCCUAUCCGUCGCGGGCGCAGGAAAUUUGAGAGGAGCUGUCCUUAGUACGAGAGGACCGGGAUGGACGCACCGCUGGUGUACCAGUUGUUCUGCCAAGGGCAUCGCUGGGUAGCUAUGUGCGGACGGGAUAAGUGCUGAAAGCAUCUAAGCAUGAAGCCCCCCUCAAGAUGAGAUUUCCCAUUCCGCAAGGAAGUAAGAUCCCUGAAAGAUGAUCAGGUUGAUAGGUCUGAGGUGGAAGUGUGGCGACACAUGGAGCUGACAGAUACUAAUCGAUCGAGGACUUAACCAA
rnacentral:rRNA from 1 species